rnacentral:rRNA from 1 species
AAUGAACGUUGGCGGCGUGGAUUAGGCAUGCAAGUCGAGCGCGAUGAGUUUGGUAGCUUGCUAUUGAGCUCGGAAAGCGGCGAAAGGGAGAGUAACGCGUAGUUACGUGCCCCAGGGUUCGGAAUAGCCACGGGAAACUGUGGGUAAUGCCGAAUAACAUCUCCGGAUCAAAGGUGUGAUUCCGCCCUGGGAGCGGACAGCGUCCUACUAGCUAGUUGGCGGGGUAAUGGCCCACCAAGGCAACAAUGGGUAGCGGGUGUGAGAGCAUGACCCGUCUCACUGGGACUGAGACACUGCCCAGACACCUACGGGUGGCUGCAGUCGAGAAUCUUCGGCAAUGGGCGAAAGCCUGACCGAGCGACGCCGCGUGCGGGAUGAAGGCCCUCGGGUUGUAAACCGCUGUCGUAGGGGAGGAAGGCUCUGUGAAGAACAGGGUUUGACCUAUCCUAGGAGGAAGUACGGGCUAAGUUCGUGCCAGCCGCCGCGGUAAUAC